rnacentral:tRNA from 1 species
GCCGAAGUGGCGGAACGGUAGACGCGCCGGUCUCAAAAACCGGUGGGGUUAAACCCGUGUGAGUUCGAAUCUCACCUUCGGCACCA